UUUACCGUAGAAUAACAUCGACAGUGCCUUUUAAACGAGCGGAAGCUUGAAUGUAACCUAAGGAAUCAGAACAGUCAAUGCCUAGCAUUUUUUAUUCUCUGUAAGAAGUAAUGGAUGACUCUAGUUAUGGUUCAGCUACGACUAAUGGCGGAUGGCGCUGUCUACAGACAAUCCAGUAGAUUGUCGUUGCGUCCAGCCAAUUUAAAGUAGGGAGUCUGUCGAUUUUGCACGUCAACGAUCGAAAUGGGGCGCAUGGUUUACUGUAGCACACAGUGGGCGAAGAGGAAACACAGUCCAGGGCUGACUGAGAACGACGGAGAAUCAGAAACGAGUUUUCAGAUGUAUUCGCUGCUUCUACUAUAGGUUCUAUGCAACAUUGUCUUGUUCGACAAUGUAUUGCAGAGCAAGAACACACGAAAAGUAGAUUUAUCUGGAGGAUUUGGUGAAGUGGAGUUUGCUAGGAAUGGUGGACGAAUCUUACGGCAGGAGAAAAAGGAAGAGGCGAGGAGACAUUAAACCCAAGAAGAGGAAAGCGACAGAUGCAGAGGGAUGAAGGCACAGGCAGCAUCCGGGUUCGGCUUG